rnacentral:rRNA from 1 species
UACGUAGGGUGCGAGCGUUGCCCGGAUUUAUUGGGCGUAAAGGGCGCGCAGGCGGCCACGCGCGUCCGUUGUGAAAUCGCUCGGCUCAACUGGGCGAGGUCAGCGGAUACGGCGUGGCUGGAGCAAGCUAGGGGGCAAUGGAAUUCCCGGUGUAGUGGUGGAAUGCGUAGAUAUCGGGAGGAACACCAGUGGCGAAGGCGGUUGCCUGGAGCUUUGCUGACGCUGAGGCGCGAAAGCG